UACGGGGGGAGCAAGCGUUGUUCGGAUUUACUGGGCGUAAAGGGCGCGUAGGCGGCGUGACAAGUCACUUGUGAAAUCUCCGGGCUUAACCCGGAACGGUCAAGUGAUACUGUCGUGCUAGAGUACAGAAGGGGCAACUGGAAUUCUCGGUGUAGCGGUGAAAUGCGUAGAUAUCGAGAGGAACACCUGCGGCGAAGGCGGGUUGCUGGGCUGAUACUGACGCUGAGGCGCGAAAGCUAGGGGAGCGAACCGG
rnacentral:rRNA from 1 species